rnacentral:rRNA from 1 species
UACGUAGGGGGCAAGCGUUAUCUGGAUUUACUGGGUGUAAAGGGAGCGUAGACGGCGAUGCAAGCCAGAUGUGAAAGCCCGGGGCUCAACCCCGGGACUGCAUUUGGAACUGUAUAGCUAGAGUGUCGGAGAGGCAGGCGGAAUUCCUAGUGUAGCGGUGAAAUGCGUAGAUAUUAGGAGGAACACCAGUGGCGAAGGCGGCCUGCUGGACGAUGACUGACGUUGAGGCUCGAAAGCGUGGGGAGCAAACAGG